AACUAAUUUAAAGGUAAAAAAAGAGGAAAUAAAGAAAAGAGGACAUAUAAUUGAGUGACCUUUUUUUCCGCUUUCAGACACCUGGCCAAUGAGAUGAAGUUGUACCACUUCCAUCAGUCUCGACAUUUGUCAAAGAAGUGCAGUUUAUAAAUGACCAAGUGGAUGAAGCAGCCACACUCUCACCGGUCCAGAUAUUCCCCAAAGAAGAGGAAGGUGCAUAUUGUAAGGCAGAAGAGCCUGUGCUGGUCUCACUUGUCCCAGUGCUUCUCAAGGAAAAACAUGUGCUUGAUGAAUCGCCGGAGGACUUUGAAGUUGGCAGUCACCCAUUGCUAAUAAAUCUGAGUUUCUGAAGUGAAAGUCCAAAGAAGAGAAGACAGCAAGAAGUAGCUAUUUGUGUUUUUCAUGGUUUAUAGGCCUACUGGGGAAACUUGCCAUGUAAAAAAAAUGAGUAACGCCUCAAGCUUGGUACCUGUAUGGUGAUGUGGAAAUCCGAGCAUUGUUA